CGUUUCAGGUUCAAGUCUGUAAUCCAACUGAGCUUCUGUGUGUGCUGCAUGUGUACAUCAAAAGAACACGCUUCUAGAAGCAGAAAGCAGGCAGUGCGACUGUUGGGUGGUUGGCGGGGGAGGGGGAGGGGAGCUGCUGCUCAGAGAGGGCUCCCAAGGGAGGCACGAGAUGCCGGGCUGCCCACUGCAAGCCCACAGGCUCCAAGGAGGAGGAACCUGAGUGCGCCAUGAGCCUUUUGAGACAGGCCCAAGCCCACCCAGCCGGGUGCUAACCUCGCAUCCGCCAGGCUUGCAGGUUCCACCAGGACUAGGGAAGCCUAAGGCCAAGGAGGGCAAGGUCUAGGGUCUGGACCUGAGAACUGGUUCUGCCACUUGUGAUCGCAGCGCUUAUGCUGGAAAGGAGGGCAGAAAGCAUAUCGCAACGUGUGUCCGGACGAUGACCCAGAACGGGGGAGUUGUGGUCACCCACGGACUCUGGGUCUGCAUAUGGAGGCCCCCAGGGUGCAAUUCCAGGAGCAGAAGGCAAAGCCACAGAGGCCAAAGUGCACCUCGCCGAUGCUUCCCAGGGGCAUUUCCCCAAAUAUGGGGAGCAGUCCCUCCUCUGGGCUAGGGACUUUGUUUCCUCCAUUGUCAUCACUGACUGUGAGCAGACUCUAGUCUAUGCAGACUAAUGAGGAGUUAUCAAAAUGAGCUCCAAACUCCAGAUUUGAGUUAAGGAUCAUAAAUUAACACAGAGAAAUACGACUUUAGCAAUAUGUGACUGUUUGAAGCCCAAGUUGCCUUAAAACACGGAAUUUCAGUCUUUCAGCUCCUCUGCUAAUCUAGUGACUAAGAACAGGAUCUCACUGGAGCUCAAAGAUGUGGGGCACUGGGAAUACUCUGGGUCUGUCUGCUCACGGCUGAUUGCCUGAUCCCAGUUUUAUUAUACAGCUUAAAUACAGACCAGAAGAGGAGUUUGGGGCUUGACACCUGACGUCUUAACACCAGUUCCUGUUUCUUGAGGAAGGAAGAGGUAAAAUAAAUCAGCGUUUACUGUGUCCUUCUCCAUCCCCGGAAGUCUUCAUGAAGACCCUCUCAGCUUCUACUUGAACGUGAAUAUGAGCAACUGAUCAUCUGUUCUGCGGUCAGCCCCUGGCCUGAUUCUGACUCAUGAUAUUGACCUUCUCCAUCAUCACCUUCCACAAAUUUGAUUCCUAUCUAUUCUGCCUGGAAUAGUUCAUGAGUAUAGUCACCAUUUAUGUUCCUGACGAAAGACAUUAUGCUCAUUCUCAGGGCCCUGAGACCUCAUCUGCAGCAGGUGAAGGCAUUCGUGGAGAGAGGCGGUUUCCGUGCGUGCAGGCAAAGUGUGUGCUGAGAUGAGUCGCUGGAGACUGGGGUGGACUCUUCAGACCCAGGAUAGGCCUCUGGCAGGUAUAUGUCAAUGUUUUCUGCCCAUGGCACUCACCCGGAUAUUUGCAUACAAUGUUAUCAGUGGAAUUAGUAGUCUCCAGAGAGGCUGCCACAUGUCAGCAAGCUUCACCUGGCCAGGUCCGCCCAGGAUGUAGCUCCCCAAUCAAUCACUACUCUCUAGACCUUCCAGAUAGACUAGCAGAUCUUCUCUGCCCAUGGGCAACCAGUAGAGCCAGAGGCCUUCUCUCUUUGCUCUUUCGUCUCUAGGCAUUCUAUCAGGCAUUCCAAGCUGUGAAGUGCCUGGGAGGAGAAGGAAGAGAUUUCAGAGAAUGAACACAUACAGAGAGACAGGCAAGAGACGGUGAGUGGGGAUGUCUUGCCUACUGAUAUCCUCAGGAAAGUGGGAAAAUUGGACCCUGGCCUGCUAUGACAAUGCCCUGAAGCAGUCCGCACCAGGGGCUCCCUUGUGCCUGCAUAGCCUUUCCCAGGGUGUGCUCAAAUCCUGUGGCCACUAGGUGUCCUGGGUCACAAUGGAGGGCCCUGUGUCAUCUGCCUGUUGGGCUGGAUCUCUGCCAUUGGCUGAGUCUUGUCACCAGGCCCAUCAUAAGCUCUGCCCACUCUUCCUGUGGGGGGACUGUCUCCAUGGUGAUGGCAAAGAAGCCUGAGUUCCGCCCACCUGGCCUUGACUUCACCUACCUGGCCUGCUGACCCUCACUCAGACCUCUGUGUUGAUCAAAAUGAGUGUCCGCCAGUGGCCAGGUGUCAGCAUCUGGGAUAAAGGAUUGGGGACCUUGCCUGGGGCAGAAGGCAGCCUAGGUCUGUGGGUACCUGGAAGUCUUGUGACUUCUGCCGCUGCUGCCAGUGACAGAUGGUGACUCCCACACUCACAUAUCCCCUGGUGGCAGAAGGAUAGUGAUGGGCGGAGAAACAUGGCUCCGGAGCACACUUUAAAUGCGGCACCAGCCAAAGGCCAGGGCAAGGAGUGGACGUCGUGGAGCUUAAUUGCAAGCCAGUGAAGGGCCCAAGGAUUUCUCCUAUAUGUGGCAAACAGGUCAUCCGUGUCCCCACGUCCAUAAACCAUUGGACUGCAGUGCCAGACUGCCAGGAUUUCGGCCUUGCCAUUGGAGCCCGUCCACAUACGCUGCGUUGCACCGGAGGCGGGGACAUGUAGACAGCAAAAAUUUGGAAAAUGGCAUCAUCUCUUCAAUUUCCCUAGCAUUGGCCUUUUUCAGUGGCAUGCUUUGUUUCCUAGUAGGAUAAGGCACUGACGGAGAAAGGCAGGAGUAUGUGUGUAGGAAAGGUGUGUGCCGAAAGGGUGACGA